rnacentral:misc_RNA from 1 species
GAUGAAGAACGUAGCGAAAUGCGAUACUUGGUGUGAAUUGCAGAAUCCCGUGAACCAUCGAGUCUUUGAACGCAAGUUGCGCCCGAAGCCAUCAGGUUGAGGGCACGUCUGCCUGGGCGUCACAUAUCGUUGCCCAAUGCCUAUUGCAGUGCAAUAGGAAUUUCUAGGGCGAAUGAUGGCUUCCCGUAAGCGUUGUUGCCUCGCGGUUGGUUGAAAAUCGAGUCCUUGGUAGGGUGUGCCAUGGUAGAUGGUGGUCGAGUUAGAACGAUACCGAUCAUGUGCAUGCUCCCCAAAAUAUGGCCUCUAUGACCCACACGCGUCUUUUGACGCUCAUGACGAGACCUCAGGUCAGGCGGGGCUACCCGCUGAAUUUAAGCAUAUCAAUAAGCGGAGGA